rnacentral:rRNA from 1 species
AUGAACGCUAGCGACAGGCUUAACACAUGCAAGUCGAGGGGCAGCACAGGUAGCAAUACCGGGUGGCGACCGGCGCACGGGUGAGUAACGCGUAUGCAACUUGCCUAUCAGAGGGGGAUAACCCGGCGAAAGUCGGACUAAUACCGCAUGAAGCAGGGGCCCCGCAUGGGGAUAUUUGCUAAAGAUUCAUCGCUGAUAGAUAGGCAUGCGUUCCAUUAGGCAGUUGGCGGGGUAACGGCCCACCAAACCGACGAUGGAUAGGGGUUCUGAGAGGAAGGUCCCCCACAUUGGUACUGAGACACGGACCAAACUCCUACGGGAGGCAGCAGUGAGGAAUAUUGGUCAAUGGCCGAGAGGCUGAACCAGCCAAGUCGCGUGAGGGAUGAAGGUUCUAUGGAUCGUAAACCUCUUUUAUAAGGGAAUAAAGUGCGGGACGUGUCCCGUUUUGUAUGUACCUUAUGAAUAAGGAUCGGCUAACUCCGUGCCAGCAGCCGCGGUAAUACGGAGGAUCCGAGCGUUAUCCGGAUUUAUUGGGUUUAAAGGGUGCGUAGGCGGCCUUUUAAGUCAGCGGUGAAAGUCUGUGGCUCAACCAUAGAAUUGCCGUUGAAACUGGGGGGCUUGAGUAUGUUUGAGGCAGGCGGAAUGCGUGGUGUAGCGGUGAAAUGCAUAGAUAUCACGCAGAACCCCGAUUGCGAAGGCAGCCUGCCAAGCCAUGACUGACGCUGAUGCACGAAAGCGUGGGGAUCAAACAGGAUUAGAUACCCUGGUAGUCCACGCAGUAAACGAUGAUCACUAGCUGUUUGCGAUACACUGUAAGCGGCACAGCGAAAGCGUUAAGUGAUCCACCUGGGGAGUACGCCGGCAACGGUGAAACUCAAAGGAAUUGACGGGGGCCCGCACAAGCGGAGGAACAUGUGGUUUAAUUCGAUGAUACGCGAGGAACCUUACCCGGGUUUGAACGCAUUCGGACCGAGGUGGAAACACCUUUUCUAGCAAUAGCCGUUUGCGAGGUGCUGCAUGGUUGUCGUCAGCUCGUGCCGUGAGGUGUCGGCUUAAGUGCCAUAACGAGCGCAACCCUUGCCACUAGUUACUAACAGGUGAUGCUGAGGACUCUGGUGGGACUGCCAGCGUAAGCUGCGAGGAAGGCGGGGAUGACGUCAAAUCAGCACGGCCCUUACACCCGGGGCGACACACGUGUUACAAUGGCGUGGACAAAGGGAGGCCACCUGGCGACAGGGAGCGAAUCCCCAAACCACGUCUCAGUUCGGAUCGGAGUCUGCAACCCGACUCCGUGAAGCUGGAUUCGCUAGUAAUCGCGCAUCAGCCAUGGCGCGGUGAAUACGUUCCCGGGCCUUGUACACACCGCCCG